CCUACGGGAGGCUGCAGUCGAGAAUCAUUCACAAUGGGGGAAACCCUGAUGGUGCGACGCCGCGUGGGGGAAUGAAGGUCUUCGGAUUGUAAACCCCUGUCAUGUGGGAGCAAAUUAAAAAGAUAGUACCACAAGAGGAAGAGACGGCUAACUCUGUGCCAGCAGCCGCGGUAAUACAGAGGUCUCAAGCGUUGUUCGGAAUCACUGGGCGUAAGGCGUGCGUAGGCUGUGUCGUAAGUCGUGUGUGAAAGGCGCGGGCUCAACCCGCGGACGGCACAUGAUACUGCGAGACUAGAGUAAUGGAGGGGGAACCGGAAUUCUCGGUGUAGCAGUGAAAUGCGUAGAUAUCGAGAGGAACACUCGUGGCGAAGGCGGGUUCCUGGACAUUAACUGACGCUGAGGCACGAAGGCCAGGGGAGCGAAAGGGAUUAGAUACCCCUGUAGUC
rnacentral:rRNA from 1 species